rnacentral:piRNA from 1 species
CAAUGGGGCAGGCAGUUUGGGGUUUC